GAGACAGAAAAUUUGAAGAAACAACAUGAUUUAUUAAAAAGAAUGUUACAACAGCAGGAACAGCUGCGAGCUCUACAGGGCCGACAAGCUGCUCUGCUAGCUUUGCAGCAUAAAGCAGAGCAAGCUAUAGCUGUGAUGGAUGACUCUGUUGUUACAGAAACUACAGGAAGCUUAUCUGGAGUCAGCAUCACAUCUGAACUAAAUGAAGAACUGAAUGAUUUAAUUCAGCGUUUCCAUAAUCAGCUUCGUGAUUCUCAGCCUCCAGCUGUUCCAGACAACAGAAGACAGGCGGAAAGUCUUUCAUUAACUAGAGAGAUUUCUCAGAGCAGAAAUCCCUCAGUUUCUGAACAUUUACCUGAUGAAAAAGUACAGCUGUUUAGCAAAAUGAGAGUACUACAGGAAAAGAAACAGA
rnacentral:lncRNA from 1 species